GAUGAACGCUGGCGGCGUGCCUAAUACAUGCAAGUCGAGCGAAUGGAUUAAGAGCUUGCUCUUAUGAAGUUAGCGGCGGACGGGUGAGUAACACGUGGGUAACCCGCCCAUAAGACUGGGAUAACUCCGGGAGACCGGGGCUAAUACCGGAUAAUAUUUUGAACUGCAUGGUUCAAAAUUGAAAGGCGGCUUCGGCUGUCACUUAUGGAUGGACCCGCGUCGCAUUAGCUAGUUGGUGAGGUAACGGCUCACCAAGGCAACGAUGCGUAGCCGACCUGAGAGGGGGAUCGGCCACACUGGGACUGAGACACGGCCCAGACUCCUACGGGAGGCAGCAGUAGGGAAUCUUCCGCAAUGGACGAAAGUCUGACGGAGCAACGCCGCGUGAGUGAUGAAGGCUUUCGGGUCGUAAAACUCUGUUGUUAGGGAAGAACAAGUGCUAGUUGAAUAAGCUGGCACCUUGACGGUACCUAACCAGAAAGCCACGGCUAACUACGUGCCAGCCGCCGCGGUAA
rnacentral:rRNA from 1 species